UGAUAGAGCUUCAACCCAAUAGAUAAAAGAUUAAAAAAAUAGAUUAAGAAAACUUGAAAGAAGAUUGAAAGAAGAAGGUUUAGAGGAGAAGAAAAUACAGAUUAGAAGAGGAGAGAGCCACUUUCUUACUAUUUCCAAUUUCUAACAAAGGGUUCAAUUUAUAAGCCCAAGAACUAGCUGUUUGGGCUCCAACGUUAAAAAAUAUUAAGCAUGUAAUAAGUAGGCAAC
rnacentral:lncRNA from 1 species